UGGAAUGUAGCUCAGUGGUAGAGUAGCGGCCUUAUAAGCUGUGUGUCACAAGUUCGAUUCUUGUCUUUCCGA
rnacentral:tRNA from 1 species